AUGCUUGCUUCAGUGGCAUAUACACUGCAGCUGGAAUAAUGCAGAGAUGAGUAUGGCCUCUGUGCAAGGGGUAAUACUUACAUUCAUGAAGCAUUUCAUACUUAA
rnacentral:snRNA from 1 species